AUCAGGAGAAGGCUAUAGUGAGUCAGGCUGAAAGAGACAUGAAGAGACUGAAGCAGGAUAUUGAUGAACUGAAGAGGAGACACUCUGAGCUGGAGCAGCUUUUACACACAGAGGAUCACAUCCAUUUCCUCCAGAGGUACCAGGGUCUUCCUGUCACCCCUGAAGAUGGAUUUGGACCCAGAAUCUCUGUCAGUCCACACUGCUAUUUUGAGAACAUGAGGAAGGUGGUUUCUGAGCUGAAGAAUCAAUUGGAGAAUGUUUGUGAGGUGACAACAGCAGAGAUCCAUCACACAGUCUGUUACAGUCCUGUCAACAAGCCUAUGUCCAAUCCAGUCUCGUACUACAUUCCCAGUGUGCCGGCCCAGUCUCCAGACCAGUCCUGCCAGUGCCCUGUUUCUGUCUCCUACCAGUGAUCACGCCUUUUCAGUGCAGGACACACACAGCACAUUUUCCAGGACCCAGUUGUACCACUUCUGAGACUUUGCCUGGAAAGAAGAAUUCGGGUUCCUAGGCUUCCAAGUGCAACACAGAAUGCAGUGAAGGUCUGAGGUGCAGUGAAGGAGAAACCAACUAUAAGAGCUGGACCAACCACAAAGCGCAGAAGAUGCGGCAUGUGCCCGUCCUCACUGGACUGCUGUAAUGUGUCAGGAGCCAUGGUGCAGAGACCAGUGUCACUGUGGUUUGUGAUUAUUGUGUUGAGUGACACAUUAGCAGACUUAAAUUUGCUACUGUUACGAUAUAGAUGCACAGAUAUAACGUGUAGAUACAGAUGUUGGCAGUCUUUUGUCCAUCGUCUUACCCUGUUUCCGAGCCCUGCCUGUUUGCCUCGUGUUCUCUCCUUAUCUCUCUCCCGUUCCAGACCCGUUCCCGUACCUGACCCGACUGCCCUGCCUGUCCCGGCUCGUCUUGUUCCCGCUACCCUGUGUGUUCCUGUCUCGUCCCUCCUCGUAGGAUUGACUCCCCGGCUAACGAACCCCUUGCCUGUUUUUCGACCUUGUCUCUUGCCUAUCUCUUCUGGUGCCUCUGUUUGGUUUUUCAGAAUAAAGCGCUUAGCGGCUUGCAUAUUGGGAUCCCGGUCUUUCUGCCCCGUUUACCGUGA